GCAUGCCGUGUAAAGCAAUAUUACGGUGGGGCGGGUAGUUUCCGGUUGGUGCCAGGUAGCCUGCGGUGCUGGUGCCUGCGACUUUACAGCCAUGGCCGACGAGGCGACCCCCGGCCCUUCCCCGGUUCCCAAGAUUGACACAAGCACCUGGCAGGGCUGGGCGGACAGCAUACUGGUGUGGGCAGCCACCGACCCAUACGACUUUCUCUUCAAGGUACUCCUCUGUCUGUCGCCACUCUUCUUCAUCUCGUCUGUGCUGUCAUUUAAGCUUGCCAAGGCAAUA